rnacentral:ncRNA from 1 species
UCAAUAGAGGCGCGGUGGUUAUCAGUAACUCCGGUCAAUGCGGGGGAGCAGACCGGAGUGAAAGGAAUCACUGCCGAAGCGGAGGAAGCCCCCAUCUUUUUCCGCUGGUACGCCGGGAAAUACCCGUCGUACUGUCACGAUAACGUGGAGCGCUAUUG